GCGUCCGAGGACCGAGUCCGGGAGCGCAGCGAGCCGGGAGCCCCGUGCGCGCCGGACAGAGUUCCGGAGGCACGCUGGGGCCCCGGCCGGUUCCGGGGGCCCCAGCCGGGCGGCGCGGGCCACCGGGAAGACCCCUCCAGGAGCGCGCCCCGGGCUCCCCGCCUACCGCGUGGCCCCAGUGGAGCCGCCGCCGCCGCUUCCCGGGGCCGAAUCAAUAUUGAUCCCGCGCCCGGGGCGGGGUGGCCCGGCGGCGGCCUCGGCAGCUCAUUAACGCCAGCGGUUGCCAUGGUAACGAGACCCCAAGCGUCUUCAGUUCACACUUCCCUGGAAAAUGAGACAAACCGUGAUCUUUUAAAACCCAGCUACAUAAUCUGAUUAUUCCUCGCUGGCAAGCCUCAGAGAAGAGCCAUGCAUCGGGAAAUUGGGCCGGGAAAGUUUGCCUCCUGCGCCAGAUUCGAAGCUCCUCGGUGCAUGAUGGGCUCAGGAUAAAGUGCCACUUUCUUAGAUAUUGGCACAAAUUAAAAAUAAAGGCAAAAUCCCUCCCAUAA